AGUGAACGCUGGCGGCGUGCUUAACACAUGCAAGUUGAACGAGAACGGGUUAUAGCUUGCUAUAAUUGUCAGCUAAGUGGCGCACGGGUGAGUAAUGUAUAGGUAAUAUGCCUCUUACUAAGGGAUAACAAAUGGAAACGUUUGCUAAUACCUUAUACUCCUUAUUAACAUAAGUUAAUAAGGGAAAGAUUUAUUGGUAAGAGAUUAGCCUGUAUUGUAUCAGUUAGUUGGUGGUGUAAUGGCUUACCAAGACUAUGACACAUAACUGGUUUGAGAGGAUGAUCAGUCACACUGGAACUGAGACAUGGUCCAGACUCCUACGGGAGGCAGCAGUGGGGAAUAUGGCACAAUGGACGAAAGUCUGAUGCAGCAACGCCGCGUGGAGGAUGACACAUUUCGGUGCGUAAACUCCUUUUAUAUGAGAAGAUAAUGACGGUAUUAUAUGAAUAAGCACCGGCUAACUCCGUGCCAGCAGCCGCCGUAACAC
rnacentral:rRNA from 1 species